UCGCUAGAGCUGAAGAAGUUUCGGGCUGAAAAGCUGCC
rnacentral:sRNA from 1 species